GCUAUUCAAAAUUAUUUAAUUACAAGGCUAGAUAACUAGAAAAGAAUUUUCCAUUCAAAAUAGUUAGAAAGUAAUACACUGAUUAACAGGUUAUGAUUCUACAGCAGUGUCAUGGUCAAACAGAAAUGCCUUGACUCUUAUGGAUGCAUUAUCUAGACUCGAUGCUGGUUCAGAAUCUAUUUACAAACCAAUGUAAAAAUGUAAUUCAUCUUGAACUUUCUUCCCACAUCCAUUGGAGGUUUUCCCAAUCACCAGAUUUUCAUAAGACAGACAAGUAAAUCUCGCAGCACUAGCCAGAAAUGUUUCCACCUUCAAAAUGUCACAGCACACCAGGCAGACAGCAGGCAGACAGCAACCCCUCAUUUAAAAUGAAGCUGCUCAGUGACAUCCACAGCUUCAUUAGUAUUCAUCAACCUGCAGAAUGCUGUUAAAAAACAAAAAUAUUUUUCUCAUUUAAUCUACACGUGGACUAAACAUAUAGACAUUCGAAGUACUAGUCGAACACAUACCUGGUAAGAUCAUCAGGUUUUAACCAAGUCAUUUUCCAGCCAAUAUUGUCCGGCGUGUUUUGAAAUGUACCUUUGCAUCUUAGCAUCUCCACGUAACAGUUCCGCUACACCGAAAUCCAUUGUUUCUGCGGGAGAAUCAAUUUCUUAACCU
rnacentral:lncRNA from 1 species